rnacentral:rRNA from 1 species
ACGGCGAGUGAAGCGGGAUGAGCUCAAGCUUAAAAUCUCCGUACAAGUUUUGUACGGCGAAUUGUAGUCUAUAGAGGCGUGGUCAGCGUGGGCGCUUGGGGCAAGUUCCUUGGAAGAGGACAGCAUGGAGGGUGAUACUCCCGUUCAUCCCUGAGUGGCUCGUGCGUACGACCCGUUUUCUUUGAGUCGCGUUGUUUGGGAAUGCAGCGCAAAGUAGGUGGUAAAUUCCAUCUAAAGCUAAAUAUUGGUGCGAGACCGAUAGCGAACAAGUACCGUGAGGGAAAGAUGAAAAGAACUUUGAAAAGAGAGUUAAAGAGUACCUGAAACUGCUGAAAGGGAACCGAAUCGUUUCCAGUGUCUAUAAUCCGUGGCAUAUUUCAUUGGCGAGUGUGUGCGUGCGUGUGCUGUGGCAGCGGCCUUUUGGCUGCGCUUGGCGCGUGUGGUGUGUGUGCUUGCUGGUGCCCUGUGCUGCGGUGGGACGUCAAUGUCAGUUCGUAUGCUGCGGGAAAUGGCUGCCGAGGAGGUAGGGCUUACGCUUGCGUUUGUCUGUUAUAUCUUGGUGGACGAGUCGUCGCGGUUGGGACUGAGGUGCCUACAACGUGCUUUUGAGUGGGUUUGUGUCUCCGUGUGUGCCGUGUGCGGAUAGCUUGCUAUGCGUGUGUGGUUAUGUGUGGAUUGAUACGGGCUUUAACUUGUUGCCGUUCGGGACGUUGACGAAAUGGAGCGAUCCGACCCGUCUUGAAACACGGACCAAGGAGUCUAACAUGUGUGCAAGUGUUAGGGUGUGGAAACCCCAGCGCGAAAUGAAAGUAAAGGGCAGCGCAAGCUGUCUGAGGUAGGAAACGUUGCGGGCUUCGGUCUGCGGCGUGGCACUAUCGACCGAUCAUGAACCUUCGUGGUGAAAGAUUUGAGUUUGAGCACAUAUGUUGGUACCCGAAAGAUGGUGAACUAUGCCUGAGUAGGGUGAAGCCAGGGGAAACUCUGGUGGAAGCUCGUAGCGAUUCUGACGUGCAAAUCGAUCGUCAAACUUGGGUAUAGGGGCGAAAGACUAAUCGAACCAUCUAGUAGCUGGUUCCCUCCGAAAUUUCCCUCAGGAUAGCAGCAACUUAUUUACGAUAGUUUUAUGAGGUAAAGCGAAUGAUUAGAGGAUUCGGGGAAGAAACUUUCUCGACCUAUUCUCAAACUUUAAAUCUGUAAGACCUGCAGGUUUCUUAAUUGAACUUGUGG